GGAGUGAUACUCAAGAGGCUGAAGAGGACGGUUUGCUAAAUCGUUAGAGGUCGCAAGGCCUGCGAGAGUUCGAAUCUCUCUCACUCCGCCA
rnacentral:tRNA from 12 species